UACGUAGGGUGCGAGCGUUAAUCGGAAUUACUGGGCGUAAAGCGUGCGCAGGCGGUGAUGUAAGACAGAUGUGAAAUCCCCGGGCUCAACCUGGGAACCGCAUUUGUGACUGCAAGGCUAGAGUACGGUAGAGGGGGAUGGAAUUCCGCGUGUAGCAGUGAAAUGCGUAGAUAUGCGGAGGAACACCGAUGGCGAAGGCAAUCCCCUGGACCUGUACUGACGCUCAUGCACGAAAGCGUGGGGAGCAAACAGG
rnacentral:rRNA from 1 species